rnacentral:rRNA from 1 species
AUUGAACGCUGGCGGCAGGCCUAACACAUGCAAGUCGGACGAGCGGCGGACGGGUGAGUAAUGUCUGGGGAACUGCCUGAUGGAGGGGGAUAACUACUGGAAACGGUAGCUAAUACCGCAUACCCUCAGAUGUGCCCAGAUGGGAUUAGCUUGUUGGUGGGGUAACGGCUCACCAAGGCGACGAUCCCUAGCUGGUCUGAGAGGAUGACCAGCCACACUGGAACUGUGACACGGUCCAGACUCCUACGGGAGGCAGCAGUGGGGAAUAUUGCACAAUGGGCGCAAGCCUGAUACAGCCAUGCCGCGUGUAUGAAGAAGGCCUUCGGGUUGUAAAGUACUUUCAGCCGGGAGGCGUUACCGACAGAAGAAGCACCGGCUAACUCCGUGCCAGCAGCCGCGGUAAUAC